rnacentral:tRNA from 1 species
GCGUCGCGAACUCGAGCGGCAGAGUACCGGCCUCUUAAGCCGAUCAGUCAGGGUUCGAGCCCCUGGCGACGCACCA